ensembl:lncRNA
GGGAAAGGUUUGAGAAUCCAGAGGCCUGUGCCCAGAGCCCCGGCAGCCCCUGAAGACUGGGCAGGCAGAGGGGCCAACAGAUAAGGUGAUCCCAGUUGCCAUCUGUGGAGCAAGACUGCCACCGUGCAAACAGAAUGCUGGGAGGCGCCCAGGAGAGAUGGUGGGCACCAGAGUCAGCAGAGCCAGGUUCGGCCCCUACAAGAAGCUGAGAAGAAAAGGAAAAAAGAAGUCGAGAAUGUGACACUGAGAGAGGGGACACUCGCUCCCCACAUGUGUAGGAAGCAGUCUGUUGGCAAGGCGGGCAUUUCCACACUGCGUUACGAGCAGCCCUGCAGUGGCAGGUGUCUGAGGGCCAGAGAGAGACAAAGGCUAAACCCACCCACGUCACCUUGGGACUUAGACUGCACUGUGACCCGGGGAGAAUCCCCGCUGGCUCCUUGUGCCAGAUAGCAAUUGCUGGGCAACGAACCAUCCCCCAGUGUGGUGGCUUACCACAACAACUAUUCAUUUGCUAAAGGUUCUGGGGUUAGCAGAUUGUGCUGGGUUCGGCUGGUGAUCUCACCUGUGGUCACUCGUGAAGCAGAAGUCCUCCUGUUGUUUGACUGGGGCUGGUCCAAGAUGGCCUCCCUCAGGUGUUUGGCAAUUGGAAGUGGAAAAAGAAAUUCCACCUGACUCGAACUUUCUCCAUAAUGACUUGCAAGGCCAGAAGUUGGUAGAGCGAUGUCUUCCAAGUUUUAAGAGAAAAAAAGUGACCUAAAAAUAAGGCUAUGGAAAAAAUGGUUUUAAUGUACAAGAAGUCAGGGACUAUGGCUUUCCUAUGCUCUCUUUAAAUGAGCCACUCAAAGGUGAAGGUUGGCCAGCUGUUACAGGCUGAAUUGUGUUCCCCUGUACCAUCAAUUAUUCGUAUGUUUAAGUUCUAACCCCAGUGCCUCUGAAUGUGACUAUAUUUGGAGACAGAGUCUUUAAAGAGGUAGUUGAGUUAAAAUGAGAUCAUACUAAUUCAGUACAACUGGUGUCCUUGUAAGAAGAGGAAAUUUGGACACAGACACAGAGAGAAGACCACGUGAAGACACAGGGGAAAAGGGCCAUCUACAAGCCAAGGAGAGAGGCCUCAGAAGGCACCAAGCCUACAGACACCUCAGUCUUGGACUUCUAACCACCAGGACUGUGUGUAAAUUAAUUUCUAUUGUUUAAGCCACCCAAUGUGUGGUACUUUGUUAUGGCAGCCAUAGAAAACUAACGCACAGUAGAAAUUCCUGAGAUUAAUGAAAAAAGAAAACGGAUGAGCCAUUUCAUUAUAGAGCUAAGUCAAACACAAAUGUAGAUAAUAUGUUACACGCUGGCAGAACAUUUGUAAGUGUAUGAGUCCGGCUUCAAGAGACGGGGAUUUCAGUUGUGUGUAGGCCUCCAAAUCACUGCUGUAUUGGGCAAACCAGUUGGGUUCUCUGGG